GACGAGCAAGCUAAUUCCUGGAAGCGGACUUACUGCUAUGGUUGUGUUAAUGAUGACAGAGUGUUCCCAUCGUUGAAGCCAAACUGACAGAUGAGCCUGGUGUUGAUCCUUUUGCUCAAAGGAGGGAAGAGAAGAAGGGCAGCAUCGAUAAACAAGAAAAUAACAGACGUGGGAAUUUGAAGAACGGGCCAUCGUCGGAUUUUCUCGCAGGUGAGGGGAGGCGUUCAGGGGAUCGUCUACGAAGGCGCUGGCCACCAAGCGCCGAGCGGCAGCUAGCCUACAACGAAGAUCUGCACAAGGGCGCUACAAGAUCUGCAUGGACGUCCUAGAAUCCACCGGUCUGUAGUAACAUGAGUCCCACGCUCGGCCUCCUGCAAGGGCGACCUUUCCUACUCCCAAAAGCAGACCUGGUUCAAGAUCAGAGGCAACAAUUCAGUUCAGUUAAGUGAUUAGGCAUAAUGCGCGAAUGCAAGCAAGGUUGGGAUGAAUGGGUCGAUGGUGUCAUGCCUCGGCCCACAGGACCAGCUAACAAGUCAAGAUUGAGGUGGACACUGGAGCUCCCUCAGUAUUCUGUAGAGGCUGUGAACAAGCUUGAGGGACCUGAAAGUUGAGUGAUGGUUUUCCUUUAUUUUUCAAGUAUUUUAUAAUUUUUUAUUCUCCACUCUAAACAGUUCACUUCAAUAUCUCUUACACAAAAGCAACUCCCAAGGGCGUUCUGAAGCUUACGAAAGUGGAAGGCCUAAACAUCUAUCAUCUAAAGACUCAUUCGCAGAUACUACUUCAGGGUUAUUUCGCCACUUCACUGAAAAUGAAACCAAACAUCUCUUCUUCUUUUCUUUGUUGAACAGAAGUACCGACACACAAAGUAUAUUCCAUAGAUCAAAGAAGAGUAAAUGUGUAUAUCGCACAAUUCAAAGGUUAAAAUAUUGUUCUGCUAAAUACCCCCAUCAUCUCAGUAGUUUGUGGGUCAUUACGAUCAGCAUUUACGAUUUGCAUCAAAGUUUUCUAUGCAUGCAAAAAAACUACUCUGAUCAAGUUGGUAUGGAGUUGGACACCCAGACUUUUUGCGCAUCUAAGUGUCGUGACAUUGAUUGUUUCAUCUAAUUCUCCAUGUGCCAAGUGAUGUAAAUACUGAAAGGAUUACCAUUUUAUUAUAUUAACAAAGACAAUCGUUUCCUGUAACUACUACAGUAUCUUGACCGAUUCCAACUAGAUGGAACUGGCUCAAUUGUACAAGAAGUACAAGGACCAGGGUAUGAUCUAUCUGCAUAUGAUCAGUCCUUGAUUUUCAGUUAUGAUAUAUUAUGCUUACAAUUUGAUGUGACUACAGGUUUUGAGUUCCUUACUUUCCCAUGCAACCAGUUUGGUGGGCAGGAACCUGGCAUUAAUGAGUAAAUUGUUCAGAUUUCUUGCACUCAUUUGAAGGCCGAGUAUCUGAUUUUUGACAAGAUUUUUGAGGGGGGAGAUACAUGGUCUCAAUACUGCAUUCGGUCUAGAAGAAGCUGAUCUGUAUGAGAUGCGGCAGUGCCAGGGGACAAUUGCUUCUGCUAUUUUUGGUUCCAAAACUAUUACUUCAUCGACUCUUUCCUGAUGUGCGGUAUUCACUCUGGAUCGAUGGGAAACUUAAACUUGUGAAGGAUCCUUAUCAGCUGUUAGAGAUAUUCUUGUGGAGGAAAAAUGUGCGCUUCGCUAUUUCCAGGCAUUAUAGACACUUUGAUGUCCUUGAGGAAGCUGAGGCCAACAAGUCUGGUGGGAAGUAUGAUAAUGCUUCAAUUGAUAACCAAAUAGAGUUCUACAAGAGAGAGGGUUUAAUCCAUUAUUCAUCAGCUAAGUUCCUUAUUACAAGUGAUGUCCCCGAGGGCUGUGUAAUUAUAGGAGAGCACAUACCCAUCACCAAUCUAUUCACAUGCCUUUGGUUCAAUGAAGUUGAUCGUUCCACCUCAAGAGAUCAGCUAAGCUUUAGCGCAGCGAGGAAUAAAAUAAGAUCAAGAGUUCUUUUUGACAACUAAAUAAGAUCAGGAGUUAAUUGGACUGUAGACAUGUUCCUGGAUUGUGGAAGGCGUGAUUUUGUUGUUCAGGUACUUUCGAGUUAAUGCUUUGUGCGGCACGUCAUUCCAUUUGCAACCUAUAAGUACUACUGCAUCUUGGUACCGAGUGCAGACUUGUGAAAUUACAC